UCAAAGGAAAAGAAAGAGUUUAAUAAGCAGGCUUCUUUUAUUACAAUAGACUUGACGUCAUUAUUUAUUAUUUCCAAUACUAAAACACAAAGACACUUGCCACAUUAUGGACCAGAAUGAAAAGGACAUGUGGACUUUCCUGAGUAUUUUAAUAUCCUCUUAUUGACAAUAGAUAGAAGAACUGAACAAGGACUGGAAACAGGAAAUGAUUUUAGUGAUUUCAUUACAGUAAUAGAGAAAAGCAUUUCCAAUGGCAGAGAUUGGCAGAUGGUCUCCUAAGCCUCCCACUUCUAAACAGCCUGCAGGUCACCAAGCCCAAUAUUGAUACAAGCUCAGUAUGUAAUUAACUAGGUGUCCUAGUGAGCAGAAAUGUUUUUAUAAAUACAUGCUGUAGCCUUAGCAGUGGAACACGGAACCUGGUGUUUAAAAGUUAAUUUAAAAUCAUUUCACAAGGAAACCUAUUUAGAGGCAGCAAGAGGCACAUAGUUAAGACUGCCGCUAAAGAGCUCUUGAUGUUCUAGUACAAAUCAUAUUUGCAGUGAAGUUUCAAAUAUGGUAUAUUUCACUUAAUAUAGUCCUAGUGAAAAAUAAAUGUGGUUGCAGAAGUAUCAGAUAUUUAAGACUUUUCAAAUCUCAUUCAA
rnacentral:lncRNA from 1 species